CAGUACAGUGGCGCUUGCCGCGCCUGAUGCGAACUGCUAGAAAUGACGGUGGUGUGCUGUCGGCCUGUUUGGCGGGAGCCGUUACGACGAAGCGGAGUGGUGGAGUUGCCAGGAGGCGCAAACAAAGAAAGCAUUCAUGCGAUCUGUUAGUGAAACGAGGAAAACGCGGCUGCUUCGGAUGAAAAAGUAUCUGAGAAGCCUGCAGAAAGUGGCCACUCUUCUAGCAACCCAAUCCCUUGUCCUGACGCACUACUUGAAGUGAAGGCACAAGAACUUGGCAACAGGUCUCCACCAGGCCCAUGUAUUUUGAAAGAGUAUGGCAACUUUAAAAUUGCCUGCAAGGAAAAUAUUGUGGCGCUACCACCUGCAUCAUCACCUGAGAAGGCAGUCAUCGUCCUGUUGACUGUAUAUUUUAUUUUAAACCUGUCAUACCCAUACGCUUUCGGACAGUUUUUGGGACUUGUGCAGGCAGUUGUUGUGAAGGGUGACACAUUUGGACAGUGGCUUGAUGUCGUUUAAGGUAAAGUCUCUGUUGAAAAAUCUGAAGUGGUCAGGCAUAACUACUGACGUGGUAAAUGUUUGGUAGGUAGAAGCAGCAUGUCAGCUGCAACAUUGUGAAGUCGUGCCUUCUUUUAAGAUUGUUUAUCACCAAGUUAAAGCACUGGCUGUUGGUUUCAAGG